GACGAACGCUGGCGGCGUGCUUAACACAUGCAAGUCGAACGGAAAGGCCCUGCUUUUGUGGGGUGCUCGAGUGGCGAACGGGUGAGUAACACGUGAGUAACCUGCCCUUGACUUUGGGAUAACUUCAGGAAACUGGGGCUAAUACCGGAUAGGAGCUCCUGCUGCAUGGUGGGGGUUGGAAAAUUUCGGCGGUUGGGGAUGGACUCGCGGCUUAUCAGCUUGUUGGUGGGGUAGUGGCUUACCAAGGCUUUGACGGGUAGCCGGCCUGAGAGGGUGACCGGCCACAUUGGGACUGAGAUACGGCCCAGACUCCUACGGGAGGCAGCAGUGGGGAAUAUUGCACAAUGGGCGGAAGCCUGAUGCAGCAACGCCGCGUGCGGGAUGACGGCCUUCGGGUUGUAAACCGCUUUCGCCUGUGACGAAGCGUGAGUGACGGUAAUGGGUAAAGAAGCACCGGCUAACUACGU
rnacentral:rRNA from 1 species